UUAAAAAGUAAUUAAAUUUAUUUGAGUAGUAUUAGUUAUAUUCUUGAAACUAAAAAAAUUUGGCGGUAUUUUAGUCUAUUCAGAGGAACUUGUUUUUUAAUCGAUAAUCCACGAUGUACCUUACUUAAAAUUGUUAAUCAAUCUAUAUAUCGUUGUUAUUAGAAUAUUUUAUAAGAAUAAUAAUUUUCUAUAAUUUUUAUUAAAAUUAAUAUCAAAUCAAGGUGUAGUUUAUUUUUAAGAAUAAAUGAGUUACAAUAAAAUAUAUUUUUGAAUUUAAAUAUGAAAAAUUUAAUGAAAUUGGAUUUGAUAGUAAAAUUAUAAAGAUAAAUAAUUUGAUUUUAGCUCUAAAAUAUGU
rnacentral:rRNA from 1 species